GACGAACGCUGGCGGCGUGCCUAAUACAUGCAAGUCGAGCGAACCCGGGGUGCUUGCACCCUGAGGGUUAGCGGCGGACGGGUGAGUAACACGUGGGGAACCUGCCUUGCUGUCUGGGAUAACACCGGGAAACCGGUGCUAAUACCGGAUGUCCCCUUCCCGGCACCUGCCGGAGAGGGAGAAGGCGGCUUUGAGCCGCCGCAGCAAGAGGGGCCCGCGGCGCAUUAGUUAGUUGGCAGGGUAACGGCCUCCCAAGGCGACGAUGCGUAGCCGACCUGAGAGGGUGAUCGGCCACACUGGGACUGAGACACGGCCCAGACUCCUACGGGAGGCAGCAGUAGGGAAUCAUCCGCAAUGGACGAAAGUCUGAGGGUGCAACGCCGCGUGAGUGAUGAAGGUUUUCGGAUCGUAAAGCUCUGUUGUGAGGGAAGAACAGCUUCCGGAGGAAAUGCCGGAGGUUUGCCGGUACCUCACCAGAAAGCCCCGGCUAACUACGUGCCAGCAGCCGCCGUAA
rnacentral:rRNA from 1 species